rnacentral:rRNA from 1 species
UACGUAGGGUGCGAGCGUUGUCCGGAAUUAUUGGGCGUAAAGAGCUUGUAGGCGGUUUGUCGCGUCUGCUGUGAAAUUCCGGGGCUCAACCCCGGACUUGCAGUGGGUACGGGCAGACUAGAGUGUGGUAGGGGAGACUGGAAUUCCUGGUGUAGCGGUGGAAUGCGCAGAUAUCAGGAGGAACACCGAUGGCGAAGGCAGGUCUCUGGGCCACUACUGACGCUGAGAAGCGAAAGCAUGGGGAGAGAACAGG